rnacentral:rRNA from 1 species
GUGCAGCAGGCGCGAAAACUCUGCAAUACGCGAAAGCGUGACAGGGCUACCCCGAGUGUCGUCCGCUGAGGACGACUUUUCCACGCUGUAAGGAGGCGUGGGAAUAAGGAGAGGGCAAGUCUGGUGUCAGCCGCCGCGGUAAUACCAGCUCUCCGAGUGGUAGGGACGUUUAUUGGGCUUAAAGCGUCCGUAGCCGGCUCAACAAGUCUCCCGUUAAAUCCAACGAUUCAAUCGUUGGAUUGCGAGGGAUACUGUUCGGCUAGGGGGUGAGAGAGGCCAACGGUAUUCCCGGGGUAGGGGUGAAAUCCUAUAAUCCCGGGAGGACCACCAGUGGCGAAGGCUGUUGGCUAGAACACGCCCGACGGUGAGGAACGAAAGCUAGGGGAGCAAAUGGGAGUAGAUACCCCUGUAGUCC